UGCCAGCCGCCGCGGUAAUACGGGGGGUGCAAACGUUGCUCGGAAUUAUUGGGCGUAAAGCGUGCGUAGGCGGAUCGACAAGUUGGGGGUGAAAUCCCGGGGCUUAACCCCGGAACUGCCCUCAAAACUGUCGAUCUAGAGACCGGGAGAGGUAAGCGGAAUUCCUAGUGUAGGGGUGAAAUCCGUAGAUAUUCGGAGGAACACCAGUGGCGAAGGCGGCUUUCUGGACCGAUACUGACGCUGAGACGCGAAAGCGUGGGGAGCAAACAGGAUUAGAUA
rnacentral:rRNA from 1 species